rnacentral:rRNA from 1 species
AUUGAACGCUAGCGGGAUGCCUUACACAUGCAAGUCGAACGGAGUGGCGAACGGGUGAGUAAUGUAUCGGAACGUGCCCAGUAGCGGGGGAUAACUACGCGAAAGCGUAGCUAAUACCGCAUACUAUUUGAGCGGCCGAUAUCGGGGUAGCUAGUUGGUGGGGGAAAGGCUCACCAAGGCGACGAACCCUAGCUGGUUUGAGAGGACGAACAGCCACACUGGGACUGAGCCACGGCCCAGACUCCUACGGGAGGCAGCAGUGGGGAAUUUUGGACAAUGGGGGAAACCCUGAUGCAGCCAUCCCGCGUGUGCGAUGAAGGCCUGCGGGUUGUAAAGCACUUUUUGCAGGAAAGCGGUACCUGCAGAAUAAGCACCGGCUAACUACGUGCCAGCAGCCGCGGUAAUUC